CAUGUAUGACAUUAGGUAUUUAAAACUCAGUUCAAAAUGGGCUAAGGUGAGCUGUACAUUUAUCCCGUAUUUGUAAGUUACUAUAUUGGGCAUUUUUGUAAUUGUAUUGCAAUGCAUAUGCAACCAUUGGGGAUACAAAAUACAAUCAUACUCAUAAUACGAUAACAUCAAGAUCGUAGAAAAGCUAUUUUCCGUCCGCCUCUCAAAUCCGUUCAUCACUAUCUCAGAGCGUCCAUGAAACUACGAGUGAAUGAGAAAAUUGGGGGCCUGGGAAGCAGCUAAAGAAUCGAAGGAGAAGCAGCCGCUUAAGGCGAUAAGCAGCACCUUGGUAGGUGUGAGCAAAUAAUGAAAAAUAAGGAAAAUACGUACAAAUGUAGGUAAAAGGCAGCUGCAGAUAGCGAAAAUCCGAGCUGAACGUGCAAUUUAGGGGAUCGGAUACCCGCAAGGUUCCAGGAAGCGGGAGGAAGCUACUCGUUCCGCUUGCCCUUCAAGAGAGUUCAAACACUCUCUGCCAAACCAAAGCAAAUGCAAGCGGGAAAGCGGGGAAAAGCGGAGGCAAACAAUAAGGCAAAAAGACAAGCGCAACAAUCGUCACGUAGCCCAGCACACACACCAAUGCGCAAUUGGCACACGCACAUGCGAGCGACCCACACAAACGCAAGGCAGCCACACGCACAGGCGUUAAUGCGAUAGCCAAGUGAGUCAGAAAGAGAUGGUCGCCAGCGAAGGGAGUGUGAGUAGGUCAGCGAUACUGUAGAUAUUUAAAUUGUUUAAUACAAGUAUCUGCUAAAAAUGCUUUGAAGAAACACUAAGAAAGAUGAGCCACAAACGGCGGAAGCACGCGGAAGCUAGGCAAAUGUGCGAACCACAGAAUUGGGUCAACGGCCCAGUUCAAAGUCGCCGCCAAACAACGUGCACGCAGAGAAAUCGGGGAGACUUUUCAAAGCGCCAUUAAAAUAAUGAAACAUCCCAGAAAUCUGACCAAUAUUCUGUAACCAAUCAAAUUGGUAACGAAAAAAAAUCAAAAGUAUCUUGUGGAAUAGGAAUAAAGAUUAUUCUAUCUUCUGCCCUUUC